rnacentral:misc_RNA from 1 species
UGCCCUGAGGUACUGAGAGUGG